GAUUUCUGAAUAAUUGUAAUGGAUCAACCACGGUUUCGUGUGUUAGUAUUUAUUACGCUGUUCAUCCUUCCAAUUGCUAGUAUAUUAGUCUUCAUUGAUUAAUUAUUAGUAUUGGAUCUUUUACUUUGAAAAAAUUAGAGUGUUCAACGCAGGCGUAAUGCCAUGAAUACAUUAGCAUGGAAUAAUAAUCUAGGACUUCGGUUCUAUUUUGUUGGUUUCUAUAACUGAAGUAAUGAUUGAUAGGGACAGUUGGGGGUGCUAGUAUUGGCCGGCCAGAGGUGAAAUUCUUGGAUUCGGUCAAGACUAACUUAUGCGAAAGCAUU
rnacentral:rRNA from 1 species